rnacentral:lncRNA from 1 species
AAAGAGUUCCAGAGCCUGCUUGAAUGCUUGUGUUUUGCAGAUUGCUCUUACUUUCCUCGGCCAAAGUAGAGAAGAUUAGAGAUCUGUGGAAUACUUACUGCUGGUGAUCUAAGAAGCAGACCUUGUACUGCUCAGUUUUCAUCAGCUGUACCAAAGGGAAAAGAGCAAAAGCUUGUUUUUACUGCUAAGCUGAGUGAAUAUGGCAUGGAAAUCUUGUAAUGGCAAGAUUCUAAAAUGAAAGUUGAUGGAGCCUAAGGAUGCUCUCAGAUAUAAAUGAUUAAUUUAUGCUACGAUCACUCUGGAGUUCCUUAUUUCAACUUCACAUCAGUUUAACUAAAUAGAAUUCAUUCAAGUGUGUCACCUUCCUAAGAGGUAAGUUCAGUGAAAGAGUACUACUUUUCACUGUUUGGUUUAAAUCUGUGGAAUGUAUUAGAAAUCUGAAACUUAAGUAGUUUGUCACAGCUAAAACCAUAAUGAAAAGAAGAGUUACGUGUGCUGGUCUGGUUAUUUUUUCAAAGCUAUGAACCUGCUCCAGGUUUGAGCUAGUGAAAUGGAGACUGCAGUCUGGUCCAUUUAAUGUAUUCUUUAUAGAGAUGCUCUUGGGCCAUAUAGAAUGAAAUAUCCUAUUUUCUGGAAGUCAGUCAUAUCAUUAAAGACUAAGAACUCAACCUCAUCCCUUAUAUAGGAUUACACAAAAGGACUGUGGUAGAUAAAUGAGUCAUUUCUGGGCAUAGGUUAAUAUUUCUAGAUGUAGCUGUUCCUUAUUGUGUCCUUUGUCUUUUUUCUUGAAGCCAAGGCAAACUACCCAGAUUGAGAUUUGGCCCACUUAAAAUGCUUAACAAGAACAAAAUAAGCUUGAAAGAACUUCUCCCUUUUUCUCUCCUGCCACUCAGAUGUGAGGACAUUGUUACAAGCCCCUCAGCUGAGAAGGGGUGGCACUACAUUGCUGGGGAGCUGCCGGAGCCGCUAACAGCCUGCCACAACUGCUGCAAGUGUUACGUGUGGUCCAACUGGUGGCCUGCAGGCCAGCUCCAGGCUGCUGCGCCAAUCCAUCCGGCCCACUGGCUUCUUCCUUGGAGGAGAUGGGGAACAGCUGUUUUGAGCAAGGACUGCACCCUCAGCAGCUGAGCCUGCCCUCCAGCACAAAGCCACAAUGCUGCUGUUGACGGGAGGAAAAUGGUUUUCUCCUGGAGCCCUCUGCUUCUGAACAACUCAGAGCUCAUAGCACUGUUUUCCUAAGGAAUUCAUCUUUCUCUGUGAGAUUAGAAUACAAGUUAUACCUUCUAAGCAAAGGCUUUAUGUUCUUCCCAGCUAUAAGAAUAACUUGUUUGCUAACAGCCUGAAAUAUGGAAGGAGGAAGAAGGUAAAAAUGAGAUUCUUGGCCUGGACUUCAAGGUCUUUGUUUUUAACAUUACAGGGCUUUGUGAUUCUAAUUGUUAACAAUGUGGAUGCUAUUUUAUAAAAAUGUGUGUGUGUUAUAUUGUUUUAUAGCACACUCUGGGUUGACAAUCAAAAUAAACUCUGUUAGGAUUAAAAAUAAAGCA